ensembl:lncRNA LINC01029 long intergenic non-protein coding RNA 1029
CAUAGGCUCUUUUUGCCUGCCGCCAUCCACGUAAGGUAUGAUUUGCCCCUCCUUGCCUUCUGCCAUGAUUGUGAGGCCUCCCCAGCCACGUGAAACUCAGAAGGAGAGUGCAUGAGAUUAUAUAAAGACUCAGAGAAGAGAUACAGCUCCUCCCGCACCAGAGAAAUGCAGCUCCGUGAGCCCCGAUGGAGCCAGCAUGCUGCUGGGUGCUGAGGAGCAGGCAGAGGCACCCAGGAUGGCGGUCCCCAAGGAGAACGGAGGCACAGAACAACGCAUGAGGGGCCACAUGACUUAGGGCCGGGAUCGGUCACUCAGCCAGCAAAAACACUGGAAGAAAACAAAACAACUUCAGACUCUAUGCUGCAUUUCCGUAAUAUAUCUGCCCAAAGACUGGACAACAAAGGUAAAGGAGGCUGAUGAGGAAACGAAAGGAUCCGUGGUUCUUGGCUCGCUGGGUGGCUCAUCAACAAAGCCCCAGCAUCACUCCUGCAGAUGCCCUAGCCUGGCCUGGGCUGGGAUGGGCAAAAUUCACCAUGGGACUCUUGUUCAAGAGAGGGAGAUCAAAGCCAGAAACACUUACCCAGAAUGGCCAUGCAGACUAAAAUUCCAAUUCUAAAAAUACUUUUAAAAUGUAACGUACAACAAAGGAAAGCUGGAAAAAUAUUUAAAAAAGGAUGAAAGGGCAAGAAAAAUUCAACCCACGACCUCAAGGCGAUUAUAAUCUGUGUUCUGCUGCUUCCCAGAGCCGCUUCAGUCUUCAGCUCAGAGUCUACCAGACACUAAAAUGCAACUGAACACUCAGUUCAUACUUGUUCUUCUAAUUAGCUGCCUCUUCCAUUUGAUUAAUAUUGCCUCCUAAUUUAAUUGUAAAUUGUAUUUCUGGUUUAUAUUUCGCUUCUCCCUCCUGUUGUACCUGGUGACCAUCUUCAUUAAUCAUAUUGUAGCUUUUUAAUGAAUCUCAUAUGCCAAUUUAUGGUGAACAAGACUUGAUAUGAAGGCAUCUUCAUCAAAUCAUUCAUAAUCUUGUAACUAUUGGUUUAUUUUCUGUAACGACCUAUAAAUGUACACCAAAAAAAUGAAAGAUUCCCCCUAAAAUGUAAUGGGACAGAACUUUGUUUACGUAGAUUUCUGAGGAUGGGUUGAGACGCCAAAUUCCGCUUGUGUUUGGAAUUUCUAUUUCACUGGGCUUAGUGAGGGUGCCCAUGUUUUGCAAUCCUGUGCUCUAGAAUCUAUCAUAAACAGAUUCUUCUAAUUGUUUGACAUUAAACUGCAAAUUUGUGUUUUUGUGUCUGCUCAAAUAUAAAAUGUCUUUGGGAAAAAUACAGAGAAUGGUUCG